AGAGUUUGAUCCUGGCUCAGAUUGAACGCUGGCGGCAUGCCUUACACAUGCAAGUCGAACGGCAGCGCGGGAGCAAUCCUGGCGGCGAGUGGCGAACGGGUGAGUAAUAUAUCGGAACGUGCCUUAGAGUGGGGGAUAACUAGUCGAAAGACUAGCUAAUACCGCAUACGACCUACGGGUGAAAGUGGGGGAUCGCAAGACCUCAUGCUCUUAGAGCGGCCGAUAUCUGAUUAGCUAGUUGGUGGGGUAAAAGCCUACCAAGGCGACGAUCAGUAGCUGGUCUGAGAGGACGACCAGCCACACUGGGACUGAGACACGGCCCAGACUCCUACGGGAGGCAGCAGUGGGGAAUUUUGGAUAAUGGGGGCAACCCUGAUCCAGCAAUGCCGCGUGUGUGAAGAAGGCCUUCGGGUUGUAAAGCACCUUUGUUCGGGAAGAAAUCCUUCUGGCUAAUAUCCGGAAGGGAUGACGGUACCG
rnacentral:rRNA from 1 species